rnacentral:rRNA from 1 species
UACGUAGGUGGCAAGCGUUGUCCGGAUUUAUUGGGUUUAAAGGGUGCGUAGGCGGCCCUGUAAGUCAGUGGUGAAAUACUCUAGCUUAACUAGAGGGGUGCCAUUGAUACUGCAGGGCUUGAGUACAGACGAGGUAGGCGGAAUUGACGGUGUAGCGGUGAAAUGCAUAGAUAUCUGGAGGAACACCGGUGGCGAAGGCGGCAUCCUGGACCGGCAUUGACGCUGAGGCGCGAAAGCCAGGGGAGCAAACGGG